rfam:Firmicutes bacterium CAG:114 genomic scaffold, scf283
AUAAAAUAUUACAGCGUUCCAAAGACAGCAGGUGCCCCAUAAAUCCUGCCGAGGAUGCAGUUCAUCAGAUAGCUCUAUCUAUGAUUGCUUCACGUUUCUGUGUCUUUUGGCGCGGGAACGUUUUUUCUUUGGUUC